rnacentral:pre_miRNA from 1 species
UGUAUGUCUACGUGUGUGUGCAUGUGCAUAUCUGUGCGUGUGUGUGUGUGUGUGCAUGUGCAUAUCUGUGCGUGUGUGUGCGUGUGUGUGCGUGUGUGUGCAUGUGCAUAU